UGGGGAAUUUUGCGCAAUGGGGGAAACCCUGACGCAGCAACGCCGCGUGAGUGAUGAAGGCCUUCGGGUCGUAAAGCUCUGUCAGAGGGGAAGAAAUGCAGGGGUGCUAAUAUCAUCUUUGCUUGACGGUACCCUCAAAGGAAGCACCGGCUAACUCCGUGCCAGCAGCCGCGGUAAUACGGAGGGUGCGAGCGUUGUUCGGAAUUAUUGGGCGUAAAGCGCGUGUAGGCGGUUUGAUAAGUCUGAUGUGAAAGCCCCGGGCUCAACCGGGGAAGUGCAUUGGAAACUGUCAGACUUGAAUACGGGAGAGGGUAGUGGAAUUCCUAGUGUAGGAGUGAAAUCCGUAGAUAUUAGGAGGAACACCGGUGGCGAAGGCGGCUACCUGGACCGAUAUUGACGCUGAGACGCCAAAGCGUGGGGAGCAAACAG
rnacentral:rRNA from 1 species